UAUAUAUAUUUGCUUGUCAGUUCUCUGCAUGUGGGACCGGGAUGCCUCAGAGGCAAAUCAGAGUCUCCAGUUUCCUCUGCUGGCUCUGCAGAAGCACCUGGGUCAGGACCUUCAAUAGCCAUGAGGCCGCGUGUCUUGUUACAGAGGGACUAAAUCCAUCACUUCUGAAAGCAGGAGAUGAUGCUGGCAACUGAAGGGGCCUUGAAACAUGUUCCAUUAUUCCUGCCUGUUCGAAUAGCAGCUUAAGUGCUUACAAAUUGAUCAGAUGCUUUCAGCAAGCUAUGAAAAGGGCUAUGGUCUAGGCAACAUUAAUCUGAAUCUCAGACUCAAUUUCCUCCUCUGCUACAGCUGUCCUGUGUGACCUUCAAUGAGGGACUCUUUCUGUUCUUCGGUUCCUUAUUGUAAAAAUGGGCUACUAAUAACAUUUCCUAAAAUGGCAUGUGAGGAUAAAUAAUGACUAUCAUACACUCAGGUAUUAGCACAUAAAGGGGCUGCAUAAGAAUCUUGAAAACUCCUGCCAGAAAGAUUUUGACCAGUUCCAGUCGGUGCCUGGACAGUAACAGUCUGAUGUUUGCCAUGUUCCCUGUCUGUCUGUUACUUAGCAUGACAGUUCAUACAGGCAUACUUAAACCAAGUAUUCUUGAUUUAAUUCCAACCAAGUAAUUCUAAGUAAUGUGUGGAUAAUUUUGGAACAAGAAAAUUUGUAUGUAGUCAAAAUGUAGUCAUAGUAUUAGAUAUCCUGAUGCAAUUUGUCAUUUAGAGAACUUCUUUUAUUUGUCAGUCAUCAUUUCCUCUCUUUUCCAAUCUUCGAAAACAAGCUGGUGCUUUAAAAUCCAGAAGAGGGUUUUUAUGUGUGUGGCCAAAUCCACACAACUGUAAAGAUGAAAAUAAGAGUCCCAUAAGGCCUUUAUCACCUGAUUGAAAUUCCACUGUCUUCAGCAGAGCUUCAGCUGGAGAUGGAUUAACCUGAUCCUAGAUGAGAGCUGAGAAAGACGCAUCUCUUGCCUGCAGGGAGAGAUGUGUUUUCCCUUUAGAUGCAGCCCUUCUGGAAGUGAUGAUUGCCAACAACAACUACUGCUAGAAUACCCUGCUAGACCAUGGCGUGGCCUUCACCGGGUGAAGUUAGAGCUUGGUUUUUGGUUGUAGUUCUAAUGUGUGUCAGUACUUUUGCUAGCAUGGCAGCCUGCAGUUUGGUUAACAAUACUUUGAAAAUGUCUCUGCUAGCAAUCCUAGUAACCACUAUUUUAAAUAACUGCUGUCAGUCUUGCAGACUCAGCUGCAAUAUCUGUUCAGUUUGCAGUGUGCGCAGUAUUUUGUAACCAGGCCAACGUUUUAAAAGUAACAUAAACAUAUGUAGUGCCUCAUCUUUGCUAAAUUUAAAGCAGUGUCGUUAGGUUUAAGAAACAGUGAUCCAGCAACGUUGGCUUUAAUAGUACUAACAGGCCUAUAAAAUGGCCAGUGUGGUCGCUUCUGUUUGUCUUGGUUAUCCUGCAGCAUCGCAGGUAAUUCAUUCUCUCACAAGAAGUUCCAAAAAUUCCAGUGAAUGGAGAAUGUUGCCACAUAAAACUUGGUUGCUAUUUCUGUAAGAUAACUAUUACAGUAACUAACUAUAUAUAGCCAGAAGUAAUUGCUUCUGUAAAUAAAAUACCAGUGAACACAUUACAAGAUUAAAGAGAAACUUUGAGCUUCCAUCACAGCUAUUUGCCGACUCCCACCCAUAUACACACAAUGACUUUGCAGUCAUGGCUCUGCAAUACCAGAAGACUUAAUUUAGGAUGUGCGUGGCAUGUUACACUACCUCACAUUCCUAAAUGAAGUGUUCUUCCAUUAGCUGCUUAGUUUUCAUUUUAGCUGGCCACUUCACCUUUCAUUGGUGAAGAAAAGUACAGUCAUUUCACCAAGUAUACUGCAUUGCAAUUACUUGUUAAUCUUACUUUAUAGUUAGGAUUUAUAAAUGUAUGGUAAAGACUGUAGGUGACCAUGGGGAUUUGGAUGUAUUUUUAGAAAAUAUUAUUUUGAAACUCCCAUUCUUAAUAAUAAUAAAAAAAGUCUUUAAAAUGACAGUUAUAGGUAGUAAAAACAAGAUAAAUUGCUGGAAGAUCAGAUCAGAAGUGAUGCACCUUAAUAAAUGUGUGAGCAGUCUUUAAAAGGGAAAGUGAUAUUAAAUAACUUGAAUACCAUGCUGAUAGAGGAAGAGAUGCUGGUUAAGUACCUUUGAAGGUAGGCUUACAGUGAUUUCUAGCAUUUUCUAGUGAAGUAGAAGAGUUAUUCCCUAUGAACUGUGGGGGUUUUGCUUACCGCUUCUGGUAAAACUAGAAAGCUUGUUCAUCCUUCAUACCCCUUACUGGGAGGGAGUUACAGGGCACAACCAUAAGGGUUUGAAAGUCCCUUUUUCUUCUUUCCUAGUCUAUCAUUAUUUAGACCAAGCUGUUUUUGCAUCUGAACUUUUCAGAAACAAGUCUAUUCCCACAAAAGACCUUUUGCUUCUUGAGUCCUUGUUGUUUCUGUUAAUAUUAUCAUAAGAACUCGGAGCUGCUGUGAUGGAGCAGGAUCCUACCAAGCUAUAGGUAGAAGAGCAGACCAGUAUUGUGUGUAUUUGUGGGUGUCACAGUAGAGUUUGGAGUCUGAAACCCAGUGGGCAGAUGGACAGAUGUCUCCAGGGAACUGCUAGGCAUGAGGGCAGCAUAGAAAAAAACCACUUCUGCUCUUGAAUUAAGACAUAAGAAAGGAGUUUUGCCUGCUUCUAAGAAUCAGUGAUCAGAGAAGGUGUUGACAUUUUAUUAGGAAAGAGCCAUUGUAGACGGAGUGGGGAUGGGCUGCGUAGGAACCUGAAAGUGAAAAUCAACAGCAUGAGUUUAUGCUGACAAGAAUAAAUGAGAGCAACCAGUAUGUUGUUUUAGGCAAAAACCUACACAAAUCCUUACAACAUUCCGAAUGAACAGGAGUGAUGCAGGAAUACAUCUGUCAUAACUAAAAAAGCAGGCUGAUGCUCCUUUGUGUCCUUGACAGACUGUGAUUGAAGAUUUCACUGCUGAAAAAAAUCAGCAAGACAAACUCUAAAGAUAAUUCAGAGUAGAUGACGCCCAUGUUAUUAGACCUGACAGUAGUGUGACAGGAAAGGUAACAAGGAAGAUUCACUAUGGGAAACAGAAUUGUAUUAACUUGGUUGUUUUGUCUCUUUGUAUUUGAAUACUUUUUGCAGCAACUCACCAUCAGCUCUCCCCCAAAAUGCAGAUAUUUGUGUUCUCAUUUUGCCAUCAAACAAGAUGGCACCAAGGAACAGCCCAUAUUUUAGCAGUGUUGCUUCUGUAGCAACAGUAAUAAAUGCUGUUGAUGGGCAAUAACCUGGUGUCACAACAGUAUCCCAGUUGUAAAUACACACCAUAGCAGAGAGUACUCCCAUCACUCUCCCUUUGUGUGCCUAGAUAGAUCUCUUCUGCCAGUUUGAGAAAUGCCUCUCCCUAAAGUGCCUUUGCGAGAAAAAGUGAACUGGAAGAUUGUAGGAGGAACACACACAUGCGAGUCUGUGUUUGGCCCAUUAAAGGAGGUACUGAGUGAGUUUCCUGUAGAGUUUGGAAGGAGCCUCCAUAAAAUUAAGUCAAAUUUGGUUUCCUCUCCCAAGAGAGCUUUGUGAAGCUGUCUUGUAAAGCGGAAGGAUACGAGCACGUAAGUUGAACAGCUGUUUGAAGGGCAAAUCUAGAAAACAUUCCUAUCAGGGACAAUUCCAGAACAUGUUUAAUCAUGCGGUGUAAAUCAGUUCUGUAUUUCUCAUCUGCUAAGGAUGGACCAUUUGUGCCUUUCCACUGCAGUAAUUGCACUCUUGCCGUGCAGUCACUUGCUGCUGCUUAGUCUCCCUUGUUUUCAGCUGAAGCUCCCUGAACUCCCUCAUGUCAAAUAGAGAACAGAAAGCUGUACGUGCACAACAUGUUGUUUUUUAUUCUGAAGUGCUUUGCUGAAGUUACUGAUGUCUUUUUAAACUGAACAUGCGCUUCACUACACAGCUUCAUGGCUAUGAUACAACUGCAAGUUGUCUCCUGAGGUAAAUAAUCAUUCCCCAGCUUAGCUAGAAAAAUAAAAUCCUUAUAGAGGGUAUUUCAGACAGCUGGCAAUAAAUAAAUUGUCAUCCACUCCAUGCAAUCUACUAAUAAUGAAGAAAGAGAAGAAAACCAUCCAUAUUUUAUAUUCCACAUGCUGAUGCACUGUCCUUAUGGAAAAAGGUGAGUGUCAACAUGUCACAGCUUGCUGACUUCAGAUGCCUUUCUGAACACUGUCUCUCAUCAGUAGCCUUGUAUUCCCAAAGUAACGAGUAUUAAGUUUCAGCGAAAGGCUUGAACUAUCCCAUUAAUAACCUAAUGGCUGAAGUAGGAUUCAGUGGGUUUUACUGAAACAAUCCCAGACCUGAAAUAUUUGAACUCACUCAUUUCUGCUUGUCUUUUUUCUCGAUAGGUAUUCAUGUGGAUCCAAUCACUGGAUAAAUUUCUGAAUCAGCAGAAGACAUCUGAACUCUUUCCAAACUAGAGGUCAUUAAAAUUAGUGCAGAUCACAGCUUUCUGUAUUUUGGAGCAAGUGUAAGCUACUUCCAUAUGUUGGAGGAAGAGUUACAUAAGGAAACUGCUCCUUUUAUUUACAAAUAUAAGUUUAAUAAAUAAAGUGCCAUAAAGUGCCUACAUUUCUCCCCAGGCUAAAUCUAGUGUAAAAAUUCUAAUGCAAACUGGAGCAUAAACCAGAAAUCUCAUGAGUCUGAACGGGGUAUAAAGAUACGUUAAGGACAGUAUAAAUAAACAGAUUAAGUAAAUGGGAGAAAACAAAACUGAAACAAUGAUGUGCUACGUGAUGUGGAUAAACACAUACUUUGAAUUAUUUAGUUCAUGAAGAGUGAAGUGAUGUGGGGACCGUGGUACCUGCAAGAACAGUCAAAUCAAAGACAGAAAUAUUAGUAUUUUGUCUAUGCUACUAUUUAAAGCAUCACGUAUAGGCUUUUAGAGGCAGUAAGUUUCUUUGGCUUUUCCUAAGGAUGGGUGAAGGACACUGGAUUUCCCAGACUCAGAAUGUUAAUACCAUGGGUACUGACAGUCUCCCAAAGGACUCCUUCAGUUAUAUUAGUAUUAGGGAUGGGAAACACUUUUCAUGAAUAGCACUUCAGAAAAAUGCCAUGCCUUUAUAAUUCUGACAUACAUUUUCAUCGAAUUGUGUUGACAGUUAUGGUCAAAAAUAAACCCACAAUUUUUUUU